AUAUCUACGAGGAGAGGAGAUUUAAGAAGGUUGAAGAAAAGAUAGGAGUUGCGGAGCUGAUCAAGGAAGCUUGAAGUUUAUAAAUGAAUGAAUAAAGACACGUGCAUGUUAAGUAGAGAAAAUAUAAAUACUAGCUUGGAGUUUGUUAAACGGUUAUCUUGAGAUUACAAUUGUGAAUCUUAGCAUAUGAGCUGAGAGCUGCUCAUGUGAUAGAGUAGUUGAGGAUUCAGGUGAUAGAAUCCUCAUUGUUGUAAUUCUUGGGCUAAUUCAUCAAUAUACGAGUAUUUCCAGUAGAUACGAUCUUUGAUCUUAUCAUGACAUCACUAUGGUAGUCAUCUUCCUUGAUACCAAUGUAGUGAGCUCUGCCAAAGGACCCUCUCUUUCUAUCCGAGGAGGCGGUAUGAUUAAUUUCCCCAAGAAACUCUAAAAGUUACUUCCUCCCUCUUUUUAGAUUUAGCUACGUACGUAUAAGAAAAAACGUCGGUCUUUGUAGGUAAGAGAAUAUAUAAUUGUAACGUGAAAGCCACAUAGUACUACUGACGUUUGGAACUCAAUUCCAGUGUAGUUCCUGUUAAUUGCUGCAGAGACCAUGGUAUCCAUUAUCUUCCACGACUUUUCUACUCAUGCUAUGAAACAAAUGGAUGGGAAGGUGCUGCCGCAGUCAUAAGGAUGAUGGCUACAAAUUAUAUCGGUGCAUUCUCUUUGAGAAAACUUCUUUUACAGCUUCUGAGAAACAGUCAUGUGCCUUCUUCACGAGUUGUGUAUGUUACAUCUUUUACACAUCGUUCUGUUUUUUCUGCGAGGUUUGACAAGGAUUCUGUUACGGGAGUGUACUCUUCGGUGAUGCUUAUACGGUUGCUUCCUUUUGUGAGAUAGUAUGCCUUGUACUCUUCUCAUACGAGCUUCAUAGACAGCUUCACCUCCUCACGGAUGAUUCACAUCACGUCUCUAUUGCGUAGCGUAGGCACUCUUAUCAUUCUUCAUUCGGCCGAAGUCGGAACCAUAUAUAUCUCUGUAAAAUCGGUGGGCCUGCCAUAUAAUAUUAAUUAGGCCCUUUAAUAUGAAACUAUAAACGCAUUA